AAAUUGAAGAGUUUGAUCAUGGCUCAGAUUGAACGCUGGCGGCAGGCCUAACACAUGCAAGUCGAGCGGAAACGAGUUAACUGAACCUUCGGGGGACGAUAACGGCGUCGAGCGGCGGACGGGUGAGUAAUGCCUAGGAAAUUGCCCUGAUGUGGGGGAUAACCAUUGGAAACGAUGGCUAAUACCGCAUGAUGCCUACGGGCCAAAGAGGGGGACCUUCGGGCCUCUCGCGUCAGGAUAUGCCUAGGUGGGAUUAGCUAGUUGGUGAGGUAAGGGCUCACCAAGGCGACGAUCCCUAGCUGGUCUGAGAGGAUGAUCAGCCACACUGGAACUGAGACACGGUCCAGACUCCUACGGGAGGCAGCAGUGGGGAAUAUUGCACAAUGGGCGCAAGCCUGAUGCAGCCAUGCCGCGUGUGUGAAGAAGGCCUUCGGGUUGUAAAGCACUUUCAGUCGUGAGGAAGGUAGUGUAGUUAAUAGCUGCAUUAUUUGACGUUAGCGACAGAAGAAGCACCGGCUAACUCCGUGCCAGCAGCCGCGGUAAUACGGAGGGUGCGAGCGUUAAUCGGAAUUACUGGGCGUAAAGCGCAUGCAGGUGGUUUGUUAAGUCAGAUGUGAAAGCCCGGGGCUCAACCUCGGAAUUGCAUUUGAAACUGGCAGACUAGAGUACUGUAGAGGGGGGUAGGAAUUUCAGGUGUAGCGGUGAAAUGCGUAGAGAUCUGAAGGAAUACCGGUGGCGAAGGCGGCCCCCUGGACAGAUACUGACACUCAGAUGCGAAAGCGUGGGGAGCAAACAGGAUUAGAUACCCUGGUAGUCCACGCCGUAAACGAUGUCUACUUGGAGGUUGUGGCCUUGAGCCGUGGCUUUCGGAGCUAACGCGUUAAGUAGACCGCCUGGGGAGUACGGUCGCAAGAUUAAAACUCAAAUGAAUUGACGGGGGCCCGCACAAGCGGUGGAGCAUGUGGUUUAAUUCGAUGCAACGCGAAGAACCUUACCUACUCUUGACAUCCAGAGAACUUUCCAGAGAUGGAUUGGUGCCUUCGGGAACUCUGAGACAGGUGCUGCAUGGCUGUCGUCAGCUCGUGUUGUGAAAUGUUGGGUUAAGUCCCGCAACGAGCGCAACCCUUAUCCUUGUUUGCCAGCGAGUAAUGUCGGGAACUCCAGGGAGACUGCCGGUGAUAAACCGGAGGAAGGUGGGGACGACGUCAAGUCAUCAUGGCCCUUACGAGUAGGGCUACACACGUGCUACAAUGGCGCAUACAGAGGGCGGCCAACUUGCGAAAGUGAGCGAAUCCCAAAAAGUGCGUCGUAGUCCGGAUUGGAGUCUGCAACUCGACUCCAUGAAGUCGGAAUCGCUAGUAAUCGUGGAUCAGAAUGCCACGGUGAAUACGUUCCCGGGCCUUGUACACACCGCCCGUCACACCAUGGGAGUGGGCUGCAAAAGAAGUAGGUAGUUUAACCUUCGGGGGGACGCUUACCACUUUGUGGUUCAUGACUGGGGUGAAGUCGUAACAAGGUAGCGCUAGGGGAACCUGGCGCUGGAUCACCUCCUUAAACGAUGAU
rnacentral:rRNA from 1 species